rnacentral:rRNA from 1 species
GAACGUACGCUGGCGGCACGCCUAACACAUGCAAGUCGAACGAAGUAGCAAUACUUAGUGGCAGACGGGUGAGUAACAUGUAGGUAUCUGCCCUUUGGCCUGGAAUAACACGAGGAAACUUGUGCUAAUACCGGAUAAGUCUUUACGGAGAAAGCUUUAUGCACCAUUGGAUGAGCCUGCACUUGAUUAGUUUGUUGGUGGGGUAAUGGCCUACCAAGACUGUGAUCAAUAGCUGAUUUGAGAGGAUGAUCAGCCACAUUGGGACUGAGACACGGCCCAAACUCCUACGGGAGGCAGCAGUGGGGAAUCUUGCACAAUGGAGGAAACUCUGAUGCAGCGAUGCCGCGUGAGUGAAGAAGGCCUUUGGGUUGUAAAGCUCUUUCGUCGGGGAAGAAAAUGACUGUACCCGAAUAAGAAGGUCCGGCUAACUUCGUGCCAGCAGCCGCGGUAAUACGAAGGGACCUAGCGUAGUUCGGAAUUACUGGGCUUAAAGAGUUCGUAGGUGGUUGAAAAAGUUGGUGGUGAAAUCCCAGAGCUUAACUCUGGAACUGCCAUCAAAACUUUUCAGCUAGAGUAUGAUAGAGGAAAGCAGAAUUUCUAGUGUAGAGGUGAAAUUCGUAGAUAUUAGAAAGAAUACCAAUUGCGAAGGCAGCUUUCUGGAUCAUUACUGACACUGAGGAACGAAAGCAUGGGUAGCGAAGAGGAUUAGAUACCCUCGUAGUCCAUGCCGUAAACGAUGUGUGUUAGACGUUGGAAAUUUAUUUUCAGUGUCGCAGCGAAAGCGAUAAACACACCGCCUGGGGAGUACGACCGCAAGGUUAAAACUCAAAUGAAUUGACGGGGACCCGCACAAGUAGUGGAGCAUGUGGUUUAAUUCGAAGAUACGCGCAGAACCUUACCAACACUUGACAUGUUCGUCGCGACUCUAAGAGAUUAGAGUUUUCGGUUCGGCCGGACGAAACACAGGUGCUGCAUGGCUGUCGUCAGCUCGUGUCGUGAGAUGUUGGGUUAAGUCCCGCAACGAGCGCAACCCUCACUUUUAGUUGCCAUCAUUAGGUUGGGCACUCUGAAAGAACUGCCAGUGAUAAGCUGGAGGAAGGUGGGGAUGACGUCAAGUCCUCAUGGCCCUUACGUGUUGGGCUACACACGUGCUACAAUGGUAUCUACAACAGGAAGCAAAACCGCGAGGUUAAGCAAAUCCUUAAAAGAUACCUCAGUUCGGAUUGCACUCUGCAACUCGAGUGCAUGAAGCUGGAAUUACUAGUAAUCGUGGAUCAGCGUGCCACGGUGAAUGCGUUCCCGGGUCUUGUACACACCGCCCGUCACACCAUGGGAGUUGGUUCUACCUUAAGGCAAGGUUUUAAACCCUUGACCACGGUAUAGUCAGCGACUGGGGU